AAAUUUAUUGUAUAGAUCAUAGUACAACACAUGUACUUAAUAUGUAUAUUAAUUGAUAUAUCAUAUACAACAAUUCUUAUGUUGUACAUGACUUUGCAAUAUAUUUUGAUUGUGCAUCUAUAAAUCUUGAUUGCCAAUAUAUUUUGAUUGUGCAUCUAUAAAUCUUGAUUGUGUUUCAUUUCUUCAGUUUUCAUGCUUUUAUAUCACAUAUCCUAGGGACUCAUUAUUUAAUAAGGUUUAUUAAUUAUGGCGAAAAUAUAUCAAGUUGUAGCAUCUAUACCUUUAGUCGAAUCAUGUGGAUCAUAUGUUUUACGUGGAAGAUAAUCUUUUUAGAUCUACGCUCAGAAAUCCUUGUAUUUGUGCAAUGGACCCAGGCUUGCUAAACCCAGGACCAAUAUGAUCCUAUUUCACAAACCUGAGAUCUCCGAGGUUUGUUGUUGGAUUUAGGUGAUGGGACGAGAGCAAGAAAUUUGUCAUCUGAGAAGACCAGGUAGCCCAAAGUGUCCAUGCAGGUUUGCACACUACACAAAAGUACAGAGAGAAUAAACAAAGUGAGGUUUUAGUUUGUGAAUACCUUCCUUUCCCUAGGAGGGCGUUUCAUAUAUUUAUGAUAGUUAUUUUGGCAGUAUCCUAGAAUCCUGCUGUGAUUGGAUCUGAAGGAUCUAGUUAUUUUGGCAGUAUCCUAGAAUCCUGUUGUGAUUAGACCAAAGGGCAAUGAUUCUGAUAAUCUACCGGCUAGGUUGUGGCAACCAGUCUUAACCUCUUGCCUAUGUUUAUCUUUUACAAGUUUGAGACUUGUGGGGUUUGUUACAAUUCUCUGCUUUAUACAACUAACAUCUUUGUCCUAAUGCCUUGUCACAUUCCAGUUACGCGUGGUGUUGCUAGCUCAUCGUGUCCCAAGCUCCUUCAGUACAUGACCUCUUACGCUGAUAUUGACUUUACACACCCACACACAACUUCAAUUGUGUAAGAAGCAUGUGGGUGGAGUUGAAAUGAUUGAAUUCACUCAUCAGCCUUUACAAUUUCCUUGCAUUACUGCAAAGGAUCAUGUUUCAUGUUGCGCCACUUCGACAAACAACCACAUUCUCAUGCACCAACUCGUGAUUUCCUUGAAACCAAUGCGAUUUCAAGCACAUCAGACAUUUCACAGUUAAGAUUCAUCGACUGCUUUGGGAUGAGAUUUCCACUGGUGUUCCAAGUGAUUGAGUUUUACGUCUGCUUUGGACAUAUCUUGUACACCUGCGCACGCUUCUUAAGAAUGUUCUAUUUUAGAAUCUAAAUUUGGAAGUAUGAUGGUCCAAUCCUGCAGACUUUGCAUUUAUAUGUUGCAAUGACGAUCAGAGAAAAAUAUUAGAAGACUGCAAUAUUUCUAUGGAGAGAACGAUGGAAAUUCACUACAUAAUCUAUAUGAGAGCUUGGAGAUUGACCUGAACAUUAAUCGGCAUAUCCUGGCAUCACUCGAACACAACCAUUAUACAUUUUCAAAUUUGAUAGUGAUGAUGAUUUCAGAGAACAUAAAGAGGGAAGCUCUUGCGAUAAACUUGAGGCUAUUGUUUUAUAACCACGAGUUCAAUCUGCUCCAGCUGACUGAUUGAGUUCAAAGGAGUUUUUUACAGCAAUUUCUCGGAGUGUACGUAUAAGUAUUUCUGACAGUGGAAGUGAUGCCUUGUACUGAGAGUUACUAGAUGCAUGGUCCUGCAUAUUCUAAUUCAUGGUCAUUAAUUAAGAGCCUGCUGUGAAACUUUUAUGCAAGGAAAGUCAUGCUUUGUUUAUCAAACUGCUCUUGUUGCUAUAGAGACUUCUUGUUUUGGAGGUGAACAAAAAAGAACCGCUGGACGCUGUGUUCUCAUUCUCUACAGUUCAGCAUUUCAGCAACAAAUCCACAUCUUAAGUAUAGGGUUCUGUAUGUAUCGGUGCACCUAUAAUUGUAUAUAUACAACUAGCUUUCUUCUUUUUUUGUAUACAUACAACAUGCAACCAGCAUACUUUUUUUGUAGGAUUUACUAUACGACUAACGAAUCCUGUCGUGUAAGUAUUCAAACUUGGAGUUUCUGUUGUACCUAUAUAUCCCCUGUAUACUAUUUGUAAGUAUAA